UCUAACGUGGCGGAUAAGUGCACUGGAUUUAAGCUCCACAAAUAAAGCAGACAGCUUUCAUUAGAA
rnacentral:tRNA from 1 species